GCCACCCUCACUUCUGGAAUUACAUAUUCACUAUUGUCUAUUGCUAAAAAAACAGUGGAGAAGAGGUAAAGGGAAGUAUUGCUCAAAGAUAGCUCACAUCCCUAAAGUUGAAAUGGAUUUCAAAUUCAUCUUCAACUCAAAGGAGGAAGAAAGAAGCGAUUCAGAGUAGGAAGAACUGAGCUUAAUUAAUUGAAUUCAAAGCAUGCAGUCAGAUAAUCAAGAUAAUCGUCAACGAGACAAUCACAGUGGUACUUUGUACAGUGGCAAAACUUGGAACUAUUUUGGCUCUCAAAUUGAAGAAUAUCAAUCAGAGAACUGUCUCAUUCCAAUCUAGAUAUGAAUUUCAUUUCAGAUGAUCACUUUGUUUUGAUUGAGGGCGAAUGAGAGUAGACUACGAUUGGGAAGACUUAAAUUUUCCGUCUCCAAUUUCAUUCUAUCAAAUGUCAUGCUAAAACAAGGAUUGGCUGUCCUGAUCGCGGCUUUUGUUAACUAAAUGAGGAUCACAACGUGGAGAUUUGAAGAUGAAGUAGCCCUUAUAAGCCCAAAUUUGGCUUAAUUCUUAAGGCACUCCUCUGUACUAAAAGUAACUCUCUUCGGUAAGAUGAAGGUGCUGUUUUUAAAAAGAGGCAUGGCGAGCACCAUGACCCAAGUCCAUGUAAAAAAGGAAGAUAUGGUGAGAGCAAAAUCAAGCAAUGGACCUUUACAUAUCCUAUAGAAGAACUGGCUGAAAUAUUUGAUGUUCAUUAGUUGAAAACACGUUAGAUAUUCUUUCUCUUGUUAAGUAGACUUAUGCUUACCUUUUCUCAACAAGACUGUCUUUUUUGUCUGUGAGAGCACGUCUACUUAAUCGUAUUUAUUAAUGUUCAAGGUGAAUCCUAGGAUUUGAGUGAUGAAAUCAACACAGCUUUAAUAGAGUGAUGCAUCACCUUGGGUGAAAGAGUUGAAGUAUAUGUGGCUUGCACUGGCUAUUACCAAAAAAAGAGUUGAGCUGCUAAUCAGUUCCUAUGUUGGAUAUUAAAAAGUGCAAAAAUCUCCAAUAUUACAUCUCUUGAACUUCUGGAGGUCAGAAGAUGUUCUCUGUUUGAAUCUGUUGCCAGAGAAGGUUUGCAAGAUAUGAUCAUCUCAACUCCUUACAGAAUGUCUUAUCGAUGCCUGUCCCCUAACUUGGUGCAAGAAAGAAAAAGUGAAGACCAGUCCAAAAUACACCAUGUCCAUUUAAGGGAGGAUAGAUAGCAAGAAGUCUCUUGGAGAAACUGGUUAAGUGAUUUAGCCAAGAUGACUCGAGAUUUGAAGAAAAUAUGAAGAGGGUUACUAACCUCUAGAUCGUUGCUUCACAGACUUAGGGGCUCCAUUCAGUCUCUAUGGCACCAUGAACUUAUUGUGAUGAUAAGAGGAAUCUGAAGCUUGAAAAAUUGCAGUGACAGGGCAGCAAUGUAGCCACCUGAGUUGAGAUAGUUUCUUCUUCCAAUGAAAAUAAAUUUGUUAGGAGACAGAGACUAUAGAAGAAAGUGAUAUCUUUUGGUAUUUGUGUGCAAAAAGCGGGAGUGUUAAAUGAAAUAUGAGAGACAAGUGUAUGAGGGUUUUGGAUUUGGGUUUAGGCUUUAACAUGAGUAUAUUAGACUUGUACUUUUAUUCCCUAUUUUAGUCAUUUGACUUAUAUCUCAUGGAUGUAGGCAUGAUUUGUUGAACCACAUA